rnacentral:rRNA from 1 species
UACGUAGGCAGCGAGCGUUGUCCGGAAUUUAUUGGGCGUAAAGGGCUCGUAGGCGGUCCAUCGCGUCGGGAGUGAAAAGCUGGGGCUUAACCCCAGUCCUGCUUCCGAUACGGGUGGACUAGAGGUAGGUAGGGGAGAGUCGGAAUUCCUGGUGUAGCGGUGAAAUGACGCAGAUAUCAGGAGGAACACCGGUGGCGAAGGCGGAUCUCUGGGCCUUACCUGACGCUGAGGAGCGAAAAGCAUGGGGAGCAAACAGG